GCGUCAUGUCUUCCAAGAAGAGCCGAAAGCGAUUGAACCAAAGCUCGGAAAAUGGUUCUCCCUUGUCUUCUCCAGCUUCCUCUCGUUCAGGGGCCUCAGACUUGGUGGCAGCUGGGACUCUGGUGGUGACCAACUUCCUAGAAAAGGUAGAUGGCAAAGUUCCUAAAACAUUCCAGAACUCCCUUGUUCACUUUGGACUCAACACUAUGAAGUCUGCAAAUAUAUGUAUAGGUCGACCAGUGUUGCUUACCAGCUUGAAUGGAAAGCAAGAGGUUUAUACAGCUUGGCCAGUGGCAGGGUUUCCUGGAGGCAAGGUUGGACUGAGUGAGAUGGCACAGAAGAAUGUUGGUGUAAGGGCUGGUGAUGCCAUCCAGGUGCAGCCUCUUGUAGGUGCUGUGCUACAGGCUCAGGAAAUGGACUUGGCACUGAGUGACAAAGAUCGGGAAAUCAAUGAAGAAGAACUAACUUCUUGUAUUCUGAGAAAACUAGAUGGCAAGAUUGUUUUACCAGGCAACUUUCUGUAUUGUACCUUCUAUGGACGACUGUGCAAGUUACAAGUGUUGCAAGUGAAAGGAGCAGAUGGCAUGAUUUUGGGAAAGCCUCACAGUGACUCUACUGCUGCUCAGGGAAUUGCCUCUGAACAGUCCAGCAUGGAAACCAGUAGCUUGGAUAUAUCCUUCCAACUAAGCCAUUUAGAGCUGGCGGAGCCCCAGAGCCAAGCUUUAAGAAGUACUCCUUGUAAAUCUGCUGAUGACAGAAUUGCACAUAGAGCCAGUGACAUUUCGUUGGAUGUUACACCAGGCCCUGGGGCUGGCAAUGGACUUGAGCUAGAGGAAGUCACAUCUCUUCCAUGUAGUCUUGAGUCUGCCAGAGAAGUAGAUAAGCAACUAAUUGAUGAAAGGAAAUUACUAAAAUCUGUCAAAAUGGAAGCAAAGUGCAAUACUGACACUUUCUAUUUUAUUUCUUCAACAACAAGGGUCAAUCUUAGAAAGAUUCAUAUGAAUUCAAAAGGACAAAACCAGUUCAAAGUAACUUAUGAUAUGAUAGGAGGCUUAAACAGUCAGCUGAAAGCAAUUAGAGAAAUGAUUGAAUUGCCUCUCAAACAACCUGAACUUUUCAAGAGUUAUGGGAUUCCAGCUCCUAGAGGAGUGUUACUCUAUGGCCCUCCAGGUACUGGAAAGACAAUGAUUGCCAAGGCUAUUGCUAAUGAAGUUGGAGCCUAUGUUUCUGUAAUUAACGGUCCUGAAAUUAUAAGCAAAUUCUAUGGUGAGACUGAAGCAAGACUACGUCAGAUAUUUGCUGAAGCCACUCUACGGCAUCCAUCAAUUAUUUUUAUUGAUGAGCUGGAUGCACUUUGCCCUAAAAGAGAAGGAGCUCAGAAUGAAGUAGAAAAAAGAAUUGUAGCUUCACUCUUAACACUGAUGGAUGGCAUUGGCUCAGAAGCAAGUGAAGGACAGGUGUUGGUCCUUGGGGCCACAAAUCGUCCUCAUGCAUUAGAUGCUGCACUCCGAAGACCUGGACGAUUUGAUAAGGAGAUUGAGAUUGGAGUUCCCAAUGCUCAAGACAGGCUCGAUAUUCUCCAGAAACUUCUUCGAACAGUUCCCCAUUUGCUCACUAAAACUGAACUACUACAGGUGGCAAAUAGUGCUCAUGGAUAUGUUGGAGCAGACUUGAAAGCUUUGUGUAAUGAAGCAGGUCUCUGUGCCUUGCGAAGAGUUCUGAGGAAACAGCCUAAUCUCCCUGAUAGCAGAGUGGCUGGGUUGGUGAAGAUUACGUUGAAUGAUUUCUUGCAGGGAAUGAAUGACAUCAGGCCCAGUGCUAUGAGGGAGGUAGCAAUUGAUGUCCCAAAUGUGUCCUGGUCGGAUAUAGGAGGACUGGAGAAUAUCAAACUGAAAUUGAAACAGGCUGUGGAAUGGCCCUUGAAACAUCCAGAGUCUUUCAGCCGAAUGGGUAUUCAGCCACCUAAAGGAGUUCUCCUGUAUGGACCACCUGGAUGCUCUAAAACAAUGAUAGCCAAGGCCUUGGCCAAUGAGAGUGGAUUGAAUUUUCUAUCUAUAAAGGGGCCUGAAUUAAUGAAUAAAUACGUUGGUGAAUCUGAAAGAGCAGUUAGAGAGAUCUUCCGAAAAGCAAGAGCAGUGGCUCCUUCCAUCAUUUUCUUUGAUGAACUUGAUGCCUUGGCAGUUGAAAGAGGCAGGUGUUCAGCCGCUAUGAAACAGAGCUCAUCUGGAAGAUGCUGAACAGAACCUAUAUCUUGCAGGAGGAAAAGGCACUACCAGAACACAAGUCCAUGAAGGACAGAUUGACCCUUUUGCUGUAUGCAAACGUAAGUGCCCAUCUGAAGAUUAAACCACUACAAGUGGACCAUUCCCAGAACCCUCAUGCAUUCAAGGAACAGAAUGUGAACAAGGCCAGACUUCCUGUCAUGGGGAGGUUCAGUGUGAAAUCUUGGGUCACAAGGCAGUUGUUGAUGUAAUGUCUGUACCAGGUGGUCAUGCCCACCACUAAGAACUAUCUUUCUGACAACCAGCUGCCUGAAAAUUGCCUUCUGAGGGACAGUGCCUUGCAAAACCUUCCAGCCUUGGUGGAUGAUAUGGAUGCUGAGUAUGACUUCAUAAAGGUUAAAUUCUUGCUGCUCAGCAGGACACCUCUUCUGCAGCCCGUGAACCUGCAAGUGAUCUGCAACUUCAAGAAGUUAUACAUAGGGCCAGGCAUGGUGGUGUACACCUGUGAUCCCAGUACUUGAAAGACUAAGGCAGGAGAAUCACUGCUUGUUUGAAGCCAGCCUGGAGUACAUAGUAAGUUCAAAUCAAGACCAGACUGAACCACAUAGCAAAACCUUGUCUCUAAGAAAGAAAGAAAUUGGAAGAAGGCAUGACAUUCUUCACGAGAUGUUUUAAUUUUACUGAAGAGACAUCAUUGACUUUGAAAGAGUUCUGAAAGAAACAGUUCAGUGUCCUCCACUGCAUCAACCUCAUUCAGAAAGCCUAGGAAGAUUCGUGUACCAAACCUGAAACUCAACUUGGAAGAAACUAUGACCAUAAUGUGUCACUCAAUGUGACAUUGAAAGGUCUGAUGCACAGAGAGUGGAGGAGGUUGUGUCCACGGGCUGGAGUAUAGUCUGAGCAUAGAUGAUGCUUCCAUGGGGGAGCUUCUUGAGGAACAUGAGGAGCUGAGGACAGAAAAACUUGCUGAACUCCAAGUGAGCAGUAGACAGUGCUUGUUGAGGAACAUUCCACUGUGGGAGAGGAAGCAAAGGAGGUUAGCAAUGCUGUGAUAAAACUCAUUAUGGAAAAGUGGAAUAGUGUCAAAUUUCUUUGAGAAACACCACCAUAAUAUAACUGUAAAAACAGAGGGCUAUUCAGUGUAGCAAAAAACAAGAGACUUUUUCUCAAAAUUGACCCUGCAGAACAAAGAAGAGAUGAAAUGCCUGAAGAUGUCACUUACUGUUUGCAGGGGAAUUGUCCCUGCAAAUAAUAAUGUUCUUCCACCACCUCCUGUCCUCCAGGUCAAGCAAGUUCUUCAGGUGCUGGAAAUGUAGCCGACCGUGUUUUGGCUCAGCUCUUAACAGAAAUGGAUGGGAUUGAACAGCUAAAGGAUGUGACAAUUUUGGCAGCUACUAAUCGCCCAGACAGGAUAGACAAGGU